AAGUCGUAACAAGGUUUCCGUAGGUGAACCUGCGGAAGGAUCAUUAACACGUAUCCAAACGUAAAAAACCCCCCCCGUGAACAUUCAAUCCUGCUCUUGUAACCCGCGUAGUUCGCAAUCUCUGGUAAAUCAUAGCCCGGAAAGUAGUUUUGAUUCAGAGACCUCUGGCUACGUGAGAACAUUGGAACAGUUACAAUCGAGCGGUAGUUUCAUAGGCAUUGUUUCCCCAAGCAGUCUCCUGUAGACCGUACACUCGGGCAGGAGCUAUGCCAAAGGGUCCCCAUGCCCCCUUAUAACCCCACAGUUUAAUGUGAAGCUCAAUGUAAUACAUUGGGUAAAAAAACCGAACAACUGUUAACAAUGGAUAUCUUGGUUCUC
rnacentral:misc_RNA from 1 species